AUUUAUAUAGAUCAUAAAUAGAUCGUGACAUUGAAGCUGUCAAGGAGGUUUUAUAAACCUAUAAAUA
rnacentral:tRNA from 1 species